rnacentral:lncRNA from 1 species
CUCCUAUUGAAUCAAAGUCCCCUCCCAAGUAGCCCAGCCCUUGGGUGGACCCUUCCCUUUUGUAUCCAUUGUAAAGCAUCAGCCUCUCCUGGAGGAUCCUGUUUUGGACUUUUCAUUUCCUUGUAGCCAUGAAUAUCCUCUCCCAGAGAAGGUGGCACUUCUAGAUGAGUCAAUUAAAGAAGUAUAUAAGGAUCGCCUUGAAGCAGUGAAGAAUUAUAUAACACAUUUGAAAUGGAUCCAAUCAUCAUCUUUUCAUGAUUUUCUCCAGUUUACUUUGGCAUUACAAGGAGUGAAGGCAACAGAUAGUGGGAGAAAUCAAGGAUAAAAUCAGAUGGCAAGGGAUUCAAGAGAAGAGGUGGAGAGUUGAACUGGUUCACUAAGGAAGGCAGGGAGGAGAAUGUAGAAAGUGCAAGAGAUAUGGUUUGGGAUUUAACUAAAGGGUCCAGGAAUAAGAGAAAAUGAGGAUUAGGAUUUGAAGCUACAAUGUGGAGUGAAUGUUGGAGUGACAAUAAAUUUUUAUCAAAUAAUAUUUCCA